rnacentral:rRNA from 1 species
CAAUAGCGUAUAUUAAAGCUGUUGCGGUUAAAAAGCUCGUAGUUGGAUUUCUGUCAAGUACAACUGGUCCGCCCUCCGGGUGAGCACAUAGUUUGGUCUUGGCAUCUUGCUGGAAAUUGUUGCUGCACUUGGCUGUGUGGCGCAGUGUCCAGCACUUUCACUUUGAGGAAAUUGGAGUGUUUCAAGCAGGCAAUGCCUUUGAACACAGUAGCAUGGAAUAAUUAGAUUGGGCUUUUGCUCCAAUUUGUCGGUUUCUGGAGCUGAGGUGAGAAUUAAUGGGGAUUGUUGGGGGCAGCCGAAUUUAGCCGUCAGAGGUGAAAUUCUUGGAUCGGCUAAAGACGGACAACUGCGAAAGCGUUUGCCCAGGAUGUUUUCAUUG